CGCGGGGGAGGGCAGGGAACCUCCCUGGGAGCCAGGAUCUCACCCUGCUGCCUUCUGUGGACAUCAAGGAUAGAAGCAACCUGAAGUUGAAAAAAUAUUUUUUUUAAAAAGAAGACUGACCUACAAAGAUUAUCCUCAUCACAAAAGUAUGGCUAUGUCAAGGUGGCUAAAUGAAGCAAUCUGGCUUUUAGGUGAGAGGCCUGGUUUUAAGAAUUGUAGACAGCCUGAGAAAGGACCUUGGAAUUCAUCUACCACCUUUUAAAAGAGGAGAAUCUGAGCCUGAAGGAGAUUAACUGGUUUACUCAAGGGAUGGAGAGAAAAGGGCAGCACAGGCUCUAGCUCUGUCCUACUCUGUCAGAGAUUCUGGGACUGGGAAAGUGACCAUCCUCACAUUCUUCCAAUCCUCUGAGGACCCGAGGACCCUGCAAUAUUGAGAAAAGCUUUGAUGGAGCCGGCUGGUAGAUCUCCACUCCAGAUUUUCCAGCUGUCCUUGUCCCCACACCGCUGAGAGAGCAGGAUGCUGAGAUGGCUCUGUGAUGCAGAAGGCUGAGAUGUAAUCACUGCUCUUUGUUUCAUUGGAAUGAACAACACAGCAGCACACUAAUUACCAGUGGCGGAUGAACUCGUCUCCAGAAACCCAAAGGUCUUAUACGUUUUGAUAGAACAACUUGAAUCAUACAACCAAGGAAACCUCUCUGUCAUUAACACUGUUCGAAAACGUUCCUAGACACUGGGCCCUGGCUCUGGCGUGCUGGCUCUGUGUCUUCUCGGAGGAUGGAGUGAGUGACAUUGCAGCGAUCACCUCUGAGAUUACUGACCAUCAGAAAACAGUCAAGAUGGAGAAAAAGGAGAAUCAGAACAUGAACUGUGAGGAACAGAGCAAAAUUUCUCCCUGCACCGAUUUCAUGACUUGCUUUGGCUGAUGCAGUGUAGGCGGACGUGACAGCAUGCUGGCCCAAAGCAGAAGCUCUAAGAGGCAGCUCAUGGUUUUACUCUCCUUUGUGCUCAUACCAUCCAGCAAAAGAACAGGCGCCUAGGAGCCAUUACUUUUUUUUCUUCCCAUUUUAUUUAUUUAUUAUUAAUUUAUUGAUUUUUACUUUAUAUAUUUUUUGUUUAUUUUUCAACUACAGUUGACAUCCACUAUUAUACUAGUUUUAGGUGUACAACCUAGUUAUUAUACAUUGUAUAACUUAUUAAGUGAUCACUUCGAUAAAUCUAGUAUCUGACACCAUACAUAGUUAUUACAACAUUAUUGACUAUAUUCCCUAUGCUGUACUUUACAUUC